CGGAACGCUAAAUCGCUUGGCGGUAGAUUAGUAACUAGCCAUGGACGAAGUCUCCUACCAGACCCAGACCAGAGAUAAUUUAGAAAUUAUGAAUUCCCAAGUGCACCUGCCGGG